CUUUAUUAAAGCAUCAAUCAAAAUACAGGAUGGAUCACAUGGUUUUCUGUUUUUGCUACUGUAAUACCAACUUAUAUGAGUAACUUGUUUACAACUUUAUUUUUAAAAGUGAACAUUUUACAGUUCACAGAAUCACCAGAUUGACAUUUCUGUCGAGACAUUUUUCCAUUUUCCAAUUUUAACAAAGGACAUCCAGAACUACUGAAAUACAACAAACGAAAUCUAAGUGCAAGCAUCUUCCUUGAUUCUCAUUGUUAGCAGCUCUAUGGUGUCUGAGAUAUACAUUUGGAGGCUAUUUUAUUGGCUAAAUAAAAAUAAUUUAUGCCAGAAUAUUCUUAGAACUAUUUACUUUCUAUUUUUACAUUCUCUAGCUUCAAUUUUGAUUGUAGUAUUCUUAGUAUCAGCCUCUUUAUAAAUUCUAUCUCUAAAAAAUCUGUUAAAGAUCAUUAUCAUCCUCAUAUGAUAUCUUCGUGAAUAAAAGAUAAAUGCUCAGUCCUUUGGAAAAUAUAAUAAGCAAUUGUUUUAUUUGAUUUUUCCCCCACAAUUGAUUUGUGUAACCCAAACCUGGUUGAUCAAUGAAGAAACCCUAAAAAUGUCAUUAGGAAAAUAAACUGUGCUAUUUACUGAAGGAUUUUUUAAAAUGACCAGUAUCUUGAUGCUCAAAAUAUGUGAAAAUACAAUGAGAUUUGGUAGAUAUUUUAAGAGUAUGAAUAACUUGGUUUAAAAACCAAGGAUAGAAACAUUUAUAGAAUUACUCAAUGCCAAAAGGGUACGUGAAGAGCGGUAAAGGAAAGUAUCUGAACAAUGCUGAGAAAACAGAGUAUCUGAAAUGUAAGGUAAAUGUUCUGUUUUGGUACCAAAUGAAACACUGAAAGGAAAUCCCCAGUUAAAAGAACCACAGUGACUGCCACUGAAGAGUUUUAGCACUGAUCAACACUGUAUUUCCUAGGGCAGAAUAAAAGGUAUCUGGUUUGCCUUUCUAAACCAUUUCUUCCAGCAGCUGGAAUUGGUGUUUCUACAGUCAAGUUAAUUUGUGUUGGCUGCACGGGGCUUAGAGCAUGCUGUUCCAAACAUGCAAAUGUCCUUUGUACCUGAUUUUCUUCAUGUGCUAAAGAGCUGAGCAGAUCCUAGAUCACCAAUAAAUAAAGAUCCAAGCAUGAGACUUGAAACAUCUUAUCAGUCCAUUAAAAUAAUUUACAUAGCCAUAGGUAAAUUCAUCCAGUCUUUCCAUCACAUUGCUUUCUUGUUAUCUCACAUUUGCCCUUCAAAACAAAGUUUCGACAACAUAGACUGGUGCAAUUAAAAAUGAAACAAACAAUAAAAACAGAUAAAGGAGGAAAGGGGAAUUCCAGAACCCCAUUGUGUGAGAUGUCAGGUCUUUCAACCUUAGUUGUGAAAAACAAAUGCUCAUAAGCAUCCAAGACAAAUCAUUCUGGACAUAAUGACACAGCACAAUAAUGCUUGGGAUGGAUGAGACAUUCAGAGAUUUUUAGAGCGAUUUCUAGAAGCUAUAUAUCACAUGUAUCACGUUUGGUUCCUAGAGAUUUUAGUCAAGUAUUAGUAUUUCUUUUUGCUAAGUAUGGUAUACAAAAAGAUGAGGAUAGAUGUGCCCUAGAGAUAUGAAAAUAUAAUAUAUAAAACAAAACCAUUAUAAAUUACAUAGAUUUUUCCAUAUAAAAUUGUUUUCCCCAUUUAGAAUAAAUACCAUCCAAGUUUACAGAUCAUCUAAGUGAAUUAAAUGUACACACAUAUGUGAAUCAUUUUCAGAAUUUCAAGAAAAACAUUGCUAGAGAUAUGACCAGGAUGACUCAGAAGCCAGAAAUUGAUUUUACAAACGACUACAUACGACCCAAAGGACGAGGCUUUGGAUUUAGUGUGAAGCUUUUAAAACUGCCCAAAUGAGUCCAAUGUGCACGAGUGUGUAUGCACACACGUUCAGUCACACUCGCAUGAAUUUCUAUGAAGCUGAACAGUUCACUUUAUCUUUGAAAAAUCAGCUGAAAGUCAUGAGGUCUUCUGCAUUUCAUAUUCUAGCAGGAGGGCCUCUCAUUUCAUAAAGAAGCUGUAGGAUGGAUAGGAAGAGUGUAGCAUUUUUGGAAGGAGAAAUUCCCAUUUUAAGUCAACCUCCCUUUAUGUCAGUUGUUAUCAAAACCGAGAGCAUUAUGAUGCCUUAAAGAGGGAGAAAGUUUUGAAAAUCUACAUAAGCUCUCCCCACUGCAGUCUAAAGCAGCAAAACCAAUCAGGAAACAUUCUUUGGCCGCAUAUUUCUGCUCUUGCUCCACUGAAAAUCUGCCCACUUUUAGCUUAUUAUCACUAUUCAAUGUCUAGGUGGAAUGGAUGCCUUCUCCUUUCCAUGUGGAAACCUACACAUGGGUUUGGGUGGAAUGACAACUGAAUAGGAUGGGGUAACAUCCAUACAGUAUCACAAAAUGAACUUAAGUCCUCUGUUGUUGCUUUGGGCAUAUAAACCCAUGGUAAUGAAUCUGUGGACCUCCAUGACAACUGGAAAAUUUUUAUAUUCUAAGAGGUGGUGUUAAAACUUUUCUGCAACCCAAAAACAUACAAUGCUAGUCCAGAAAGCCCAACAGGAGUCAUAAUUUCUCCUGAUUUCUCACUGCUCAUUUCUUUAUGUGACUGCCCAAAGCACUUCUAACCAGAAGUCAACAGUUCAGUCCUUUUCAAGAGAUGUCUCAUCAAACUCCAUGACUAGUUCUAUCACCUUCCACAACAGUUAUCUAUAAACAAACUAAUCAAGGCUAGGUUUAAAACCAAGCCCACUGCUCUCAAUUACAGAGCCAGAUAAUGUUUGUUGUAAAGUUUGGAUGGCAAAAGUAUCCAAUUUCAUGGACCCAUUUUUUGCUUGUCUCAUGCAACGGGGGUUGGUUAUCCUGGAAGACUGCAAACUUUCUGUGAACUAUAAAUGUUUCAACUAGAAGGGAUCCUGUAGACCCUCGAGUACUACCUGCAUAUUUUACAGAUGAAAAAGAUUAAAUCCCAGAGAGAGGAAGGGAGUUGUCCAAGGUCACCUCCUCAGAUGGUGACAGAGUGAGGACUAAACAUCUGGGUCUGCUCUCAUCACCAAUGUGAUCCAUGCAAUCUUGGACAUCAUAACCCCAUUACCUGAUGUGGCCACGGCCCCUAUGAAUUUAUUAAGAUUACUGUCUCCUUUGCUUUUAAGGGAAAAUUAAAUAAAACCACUCAUUCUCACCAAUAUUAAAUCUUAAUUGCAGAUGUGGUCCUAAUGGUUUUUUUGGAAGGAGAAGAUCCACAAUUUGUUUAAAAUGCUAUUUCUCAAAACCAACAUUCUUAUUUAAGUAAUGAAGCAUGAAAAUGUUAGGUGGACCAAGAGAUGAAAGCAAAAAUCUUUAAAGUCAUUGUGAAAAGGAGCAAGGAUGUGAAUAUUGGUUUGGUUCUGUGUGACAGUGAUACCAUUUCAACAGUGCUCAGAGCUCAUGUCAUCUGCCCCUUCUACAGAUAAGGGACCUGAGGUCCAGACUUGUCCAAAGCCAGGCAGCUGGUUAUUGGCACAGUGGGUAUUAAGCCUUUGGAUGACUAAUUUUGUCUUCUUUCCAUAACAUCACGCACCUCACAUAUAACCACUUUCUUGCAGGACUGCAUAAUUAUUCAACAGUUUUGGCAUAAAAUCUGAUGGCACAGUUCCCUUUGCUAUUACCCUAACCUUUCGCUUUCCUCUUUAAGGACAACCAAGUCAGCUAUGCAGUUCAUAAAAGUGGACCUGGUUAUAUGUCAUCCAACAGCAUAUGGUCCCUGCAAGCCUGUUUGGAAGCCAAUAUUCUAUAACCUACAGGAAUCCACUGAAUCUGAUGUCUUUGGAAGCAAUAUAUUUUCCAGGGUUCCAAUGGACUACGGAAUAAGGCAACACAGGGCCUGUUUUCCCGCAGUGUCCUCUGCUCCAAGGAACUUUCUUAAGGAAGCGGGACGUGUCAAUGAGGUACCUCCCGGGGUUCUACAGUUCCUCCUGCCCACUGGCCAGGGGGAAUCUGGCGGGAGCCUCUCGGUGGAUGCUGUCACAUGACUGUGCCUUCUGAAAGAACAUCUGUGAAGAGCAGUUUCUGGUGUCCCUGAGUAACCCUUUUCUAACAAUUCAGCCAGUGUAUUUCCUCCAAGAGUAGAAAACACUGGCUUGGAAAAUCUAGUGAAUUUUCAGCUUCUUGUGAAUGUGUAUGAACAAACCAACCUACUCGGUCUGUGAAAUUCUCGCUAAUUCAGAUGGGACAUGGGCAAGGCUUCUAAUACUUUCAUCCCAUGAACAUAAAUUUUGAUAUUUCAGCUGCAGAUUUUUUCAAAUAUACAAUGACCUGAGGCCAGGAAAGUUACCUUGUCAAUUUAUUUUCUUAUAAUUUGCAUGUCUUAUAAAAGUAGACUACAGCAGGCAUGGACAAAAACAGAACAAAAGUCUAACUGAUUGAAAGCUUAUUCCAUAGAGAAGACAUUGGGUUCUAGAGACUUACAGGCUAUGCUUGUAGUUUCUCAUAUUUACCUUCCUUUUGUUGGAAAAUAUAGCAGAAAAUAGAGUGGAGGAGGGUGAGAAGGUGAGGUUAUUUGUGUGAAGAAUGGUUAGGAUCAGUUUGUUUACCUCCUCCCCAUCCGUACCACUUUUUGGAACAGUUAUCUGUAAAUAUAAGGAUAAAGUAGUCUGAACCUGGGUACAGAAGAGGAGAACACUAACAAGACAGGCAUCUGAUGGUAAUACCAACAGCUUUUUCCCCAAACCUAAGUUACAACUUUAGUGAUCAUUAUGUUCUAAUUGUUAUAGAAAAAUAAAAUGUGAAAAUACUAGUUACAACAUCCCAAUGCUUUCCUCUAUUGAAUAUUUAAAAAUGUUUCUGAACGUGAACUUUGAGUUUUCAGAUAUGAUUUUAAUUGUGUAUUGAUAUGUAUUUCUCUAAUCUACAACCAAGCAGUUCAAUUUAGACAACUACUUACAGGCACUUCAAACAUUUCUUGUGACAUUGUUAAAAGGGGCAUAGCUUGGAAUCAAAUGCAGUCUAAUUAGGUGAUAUGUGUGGUUCAUUUUGGGGAAAUCUGUG
rnacentral:lncRNA from 1 species